CAGCACCUCAAGUGGUCAGGAUGAUUAUUGGGCCUAAAGCAUCCGUAGCCGGCGCUGUGAGUUUUCGGUUAAAUCUGUACGCUCAACGUACAGGCUGCCGGGAAUACUGCAGCGCUAGGGAGUGGGAGAGGUAGACGGUACUCGGUAGGAAGGGGUAAAAUCCUUUGAUCUAUUGAUGACCACCUGUGGCGAAGGCGGUCUACCAGAACACGUCCGACGGUGAGGGAUGAAAGCUGGGGGAGCAAGCCGGAUUAGAGACCCGAGUAGUCC
rnacentral:rRNA from 1 species